rnacentral:lncRNA from 1 species
CCUUCGAAGCAUUUCAUGACAGGAUGCACAAUGACAGGCAUCUCAUAUGCACAAUGACAGGCAUCUUAUGAUUCAUGAACAUGAACCAUAACCAUAUAUGUUUAACAGCUUGACCACCUUAUCUCAGAUAUCAACAAUAAACCUGUGUAGCUGCUCAUCUCAUCUCAAUGCUAAUAGGAACUCAUCUCCAUAAUCUAAUACAAGUAAAAAAGCAAACAUAAAUCAGUACUGCAUGCAGAUGAGGGGCAUUCAAGAGAUAAGGGCACAACACUUUAUGCUAGUUGUAAAAUACAUGUUGAUGCAUAUUUCUAGUUGUAAAAUACAUGUUGAUGCAUAGUCUAGAGACUCUGCAGAUUGGUUGUUCAUAUUUGAAAUGGAUGGCAUGUCCUGCAUCUCAAUUCGUUUGUAUCUUUUAGUUAGUCAUAAAUUAGCAUGUUUAUCCUAUUUUCCUUACUGAAAAUGCAGUUAACUUGUUAAUACCAUGAACCGUAUGCUUCUGGACCUGAAUAUUGUAAAUCUUUACUACCUGGUUGUGAAAAAAAAUUGGAGCUAGAACUGGUCUGGACCUGAAAUUGUUAAUCUUAUUACAGGCUCUGCUAUCACUAGACCCAUCAACAAGGUAAAGUGAUGAUCUCGAUCAAGUGAUCAUUCAUUAUCAGAAUGAUAAUUUAGGUUCCCCUUGGGAUUAAAUAAUUUAGAUUACCUGGAUCACCUCCCUGAGUUUCGGUGGCCGCAUUUUC